CAUUCCUGUAAUGGCUGCUUUCGGUCCGCUUCCUCUUUAAAAUAGGCUGUGUCACGAGUAACCUCUUAGCCUCAGCAUCCGGAAGUUCCAAAGAGAAUAUUUCACGUUGGAUAGAAUUUUACAUAUACCAUUGUUUCGGCAAGUUCAGCCCUCCAGAUCUUGACAUCAUGAAUUCUGUUUCAACACAAUUGAUCUUAGUCCUCACUUCGCUCCUUUUGAUCCUGCCUGUUGUUGAAGCAGUGGAAGCUGGAGAUGCGAUUGCACUAUUAUUAGGUGUGGUUCUCAGCAUUACAGGCAUCUGUGCUUGCUUGGGGAUAUAUGCAAGAAAGCGAAAUGGACAGAUAUGAAUCUGAAGGACUCUUCUCAAUUAGACUUCACCCUGACCAGUGUGCUGAAAACCAUUGUGCUGUUGAGGCCAACCCCAAGUUUUGAUCUCUCCGGUUCUCAGCAAGAGGGUUACAGUUAACUGAGAGUUAACACCUUCAGUUAAGAUGAUGCUUUCAUUUCAUACUUGUUUCUUCUACAAUGGGAGCAGAUGGGGGUGGAGGGCAGCUCUUAACAACAAAGAGUGCACUAAUAUUGUGGCCCAGAAUCUGUAUUUGCUGCUUGGGAAGGGGCCAAAGUGAGAGGGCUUAAGUUUGCAUAAGUAUUAUUUCAUACUUUCAAGUUGUCAGAACACAUGGAAUUUGGAAUGUAUUUGCUCAGAAUCUAGUAAAUCUACAUUGUUAUAAUCACUGCCUCUUAUAUUCUGGGGAUCUCUCUCUCUCUCUCUCUCUCUCCCUCUCCCUCUCCCCCCUCCCCCGUUAGAGGGUUGGGGUGGGUUUGAAUUUGUUUUAUUGUUGUUACUGUUUUUUUUUUUAAUGCUUAUGUUUUUAUCUCCCAAGUUGAUAUUGUACUUAGAUCUUAGCCAAAAACUUUUAUCUCUGAGAAAAUGUUUGAUAAAAAUGUACUAAACAUAUCUAAUAUUAAAAUGGAGGAAAUAUUUGUUAAAAGAUAACUUUACAUUGAGUAUCUUCUCCUUUGUGAGUUGUAUUGCAUCAAAUACAUAGCCAUUAUGCCUU